GCCCACGCUGGUUCCCAGCCACUCGACGUAGGGCCGCCCACAGGGCCGUCUCCGCCGCGGAGCUCCCGCCCCUGAACGCUGCGCAGCCCCGCUCGCAGCGCGGAGUCCCGCACGUUAGCGCGUCUGGCCCGGUGCUACCUUGAGGCGCUCUACUUGGGGGAGACGCCGAAGACGGGAGCGCCUCGAGCUCCUCGCGCGGGCUCGCUUACAGAAGCCAGGGCUAGCGCUGGGACUUCUAGGGGAGGACUGUAAUGAGACGGAGCUGAAGUGCUUUCCUCAGUCAGAUGAGAACUUCUGACAGCGCGGCAGACGCACAGCAAAGUAAACAAGCCGCGCAGCAAGAAUGAAGUGAGAGCCGCCCCGUCGUGUCCGUGGGAUUCUCCAGGCCGGAACACUGGAGUGGAUAUUUCCCUCUCCAGUACUGAAAGCUACCCUUCAAUGAAAUAUGCGUUUCUUAUUUUAUUCAGAGUAAUCUCCUGGCCAAAUGCCUAGAAAUCCUGCUACUGCUGCUACUGCUAAGUCGCUUCAGUCAUGUCCGACUCUGUGCGACCGCAGCCCACCAGGAAAUCCUGAACCUGAACUAAUUACAGUUGCAAAGGAUGGCUUGCGUAUGAAAUACCUGAAGCGUCUAUAUGAGGCAGGAAGCAGAUGGGCCCCCCAGGGUAAAGCGAC
ensembl:lncRNA